UUCCGCCGAUGGCCCCAGUUACGCCACGCUAUUUUUGAUUCGGUCUUUUUCAAAUCAAGCCGUCAUUGAGUGCAGAUGCACUUACUCUCUAUUCCAAUAAAAUUGGUAACAUCACACGUGUAGCUCAGAACGCCAAAACCACCAGAGCUGCAGAGAAGCAGCCAAAUCGGAGAAGCAUACGCCAGAGGAGCACCCUGCCGCAUCUGAGAAGCAUCCGCCAGAGGAGCGCCCUGUCGAGGAGCGCGCACCGGAGUAGCCCCGCCGUAAGAGGAAGUCCUGCCGGAGGAGCAGUCACAUCGGAGAAGCACCCGCCGGAGAAGUGCCCAAGAGACCGCUGACUGAGGCGCGCGCAUCGCUCGUUCGCUUAGCCGUCAGAGGAGCCGUUUAGAUUCCCCGGUUGGCGUCUUCAUUGCGUGAGCCACUGGGGCUUGACCCAUUGGUGCCAGGGACGUUCGACUAGCCCCAGACAACUAGUGUAGAAGAGGAGCGACUUCCGACAGUUAACCAAUUGCACAAUACAGAAAAUUCUAGGCCAUAUUUUUUUUGUGAGAGAGAGAUAUUCGCGAUGUAAAAUGCCGGGAUGAUAAUCAGAAAAGUUUUCUUCCAAUCGUUUGCAAGGAAAGUGGAAGUAUUUUAACCCAUAGGGCGGUAUGAAAUGCCUGAUUUUUUUCAGCAUGAACGUUGAACGGAAGAUCGAUCUUUCGCCGAUGGAAAUCUGAAUUUUUUAAAGACCAUCGCGACGUGGACUCUUCUUGGAAAUUUCAUGCUGACGUCUCUAAGCCCAAAAAUAAAUAUUAUAUAGAAAACCAACCAACAUCUGAAUAUGUACAUAUCUACUUACAAAGCAACAGUUUUCAUUGAGGAAAAAAAUGGUAACUGAAAUGUAUUAAGUGUAACGCCCACAAAUGCCCAAAACGCUUGACGACAUAACCUUAUAUUGAAAUACCUGCUGAGUAACGGGUAUCUGAUAGUCGAGGGACUCGACUUUUUUAUUGUCUACAACCAGGGACUGAAGAGAACCGGUACCGGUACCGAAACCGGAACCCUUUCCUUUUUACGGAACCGGAAUCGAAACGAAACCGAAAUUUUAAUUUUCGAUGGAACCGGGACUGGAACCGGAACCGAUUAUUUGGCAUACUGUGGAACCGAAACCGGAUCCGAAACCGAUAUUCUUUUUUUGAGAAUGAGUCUCGGAUUGCGUUGUGGCGUUGUGGCUCUGUGACUUGUUGAUAUGUAAUUGAAACACGAAUAAAUGCGAAU